UACGGAGGGGGCUAGCGUUGUUCGGAAUUACUGGGCGUAAAGCGCACGUAGGCGGACUGUUAAGUCGGGGGUGAAAUCCUGGAGCUCAACUCCAGAACUGCCUUCGAUACUGGCGACCUUGAGUCCGGGAGAGGUGAGUGGAACUCCGAGUGUAGAGGUGAAAUUCGUAGAUAUUCGGAAGAACACCAGUGGCGAAGGCGGCUCACUGGCCCGGUACUGACGCUGAGGUGCGAAAGGCGUGGGGAGCAAACAGG
rnacentral:rRNA from 1 species